ACGGGUGAGUAAUGCCUAGGAAUCUGCCUGGUAGUGGGGGACAACGUUUCGAAAGGAACGCUAAUACCGCAUACGUCCUACGGGAGAAAGCAGGGGACCUUCGGGCCUUGCGCUAUCAGAUGAGCCUAGGUCGGAUUAGCUAGUUGGUGAGGUAAUGGCUCACCAAGGCGACGAUCCGUAACUGGUCUGAGAGGAUGAUCAGUCACACUGGAACUGAGACACGGUCCAGACUCCUACGGGAGGCAGCAGUGGGGAAUAUUGGACAAUGGGCGAAAGCCUGAUCCAGCCAUGCCGCGUGUGUGAAGAAGGUCUUCGGAUUGUAAAGCACUUUAAGUUGGGAGGAAGGGUUGUAGAUUAAUACUCUGCAAUUUUGACGUUACCGACAGAAUAAGCACCGGCUAACUCUGUGCCAGCAGCCGCGGUAAUACAGAGGGUGCAAGCGUUAAUCGGAAUUACUGGGCGUAAAGCGCGCGUAGGUGGUUCGUUAAGUUGGAUGUGAAAUCCCCGGGCUCAACCUGGGAACUGCAUUCAAAACUGUCGAGCUAGAGUAUGGUAGAGGGUGGUGGAAUUUCCUGUGUAGCGGUG
rnacentral:rRNA from 5 species